CAUAAUAGUGAACAAUACAGAUGAGAUCUUUGAAACUGAAGGUAUAUUCAAUGCUGCUAUAGUAUCAGAAAUAUGGAUCUACAUAAAGAAAAGAAGAGCAUAAGAGAAGGAGAACUGCCAGCAGAGAUAUAGUGGGCCCUGAAACAGCAUGACUUUGAUGCUUAGAAAAUGCUCUCUUUUAACAAAGUAAAUCAAGCAUACGUGUAUGAGGCCUGGGGCUCUGACUGGUGCGGAGAGCACAGAAUGGUCUAGAUGUAUGACAACGAGCAAGAAGAGGCUGCUGGGUAGCCAGGAAAGAGCAGGGAUGAAAAGAGGCAUCAGAGGAUGAGGCCUGGCAGGAAACUCAGGUGACACCGAGCUAACCUCCCUAUCAGAACAGACUGUUAUAUUCACUAGCACCAAUAUUAUCUUCUUUUCAUCACAUUCGUGUAGCAAAUCAUUUUCGCGUAUUUACAUUGUAUUGCGUACUCGUGUGCUAAGGGCAAUUAUCAGACUCCACGGAUUUCCUGUCAAGAGGGGAA